GGGUCCCGGUGGCGCCGCCCCGGGAUGGGGAGCGUGGUACCUGGCUGCUAGUCGGUGGGCUCUGAAGUCUGACCUGCUGUCACUUUCUCCGUCGCCACAAGCGGCCCGGUGGCAUGUGCUAAGGCGGCUUCCGCUGUUUCAGUCUAGAUUUUUUUCUUAACAGUCCCAUUCCAAUUCUUUUGCAAGCAAAGAAACUGAGGCUGCCCAGGCUCUGGACUGGAGGAUGACGAGCCCCGGGCGCAUCAUGCCACUCAUGGAUUACCCGGACUGAAUGACUUGAGGGGUGAAGAGGGUCCUUUUUAUUCUGAUGCUUCUGGGACGUCGAAAUUGCCUUCUCUGGAAAGACCCAUCCCCUGCCUGGGCUUCAGAGGCCCACAUGGAAACGCAGUGAUGAUGUGGUGGUCCACUCUGAUGUCACUCUUGAGGGCUAGGUAUGUCCCAACAUCUCUUAUUACUAAUAGUAUAGAUUCUUAUAAGAGCUUCCAUUUGUGGAGUCCUUCAAUACUGCAUGCCAGGCAUUGUACAAAGCGGGUUACACAUAAGGGUUCGUCUAAAACAACUUUCUGAGGGAGGCACUGUUACUGUCCUCAUGGUCCAGCAUUGAAAUAUAUAACUUAGGAUCACAGUGCUACCAAGUGUUGGGGAAGAGCUCUAUUCCAACCCAUGGCUUGAUCUUAACUAUUAUGCUGUAUAUCUAUUUAAAAAUCUGUUUCAUAGAUUUGCCCAAUUUCUGUUGGAAUUCAUUUAUACGAUAUCUGCCCGUGUGGCAUCUUGAUUUGUUUUUUGGUACACAGGUAAUAUAAGUCUAUUGUUAAAAUAAAAAUAAAAUCUGCAGCUGGGUGCAAUUAGUGGCUCACAUCUGUGAUCUCAACACUUGGAGAGUGCAGGACAAUUGCUUUGAGAUUGAGAUCAAUCUGGGCUACAGAGUAAGAGAUCUGUCUCAAAAAAAAAAAGAGUAGUAAAGAAAAAACAUUAAAAAUUCACAUGUGAAAGUCAUCCCCACCACGUUAAAUAAACAGUUGAUGCUAUAGAGUACUUCACAUUUACUGACUCUCCAAAUCCAUUCAUUUCACAAAAGCACAACGAACAGCCACUUCCCUGGGUGCUGAGAAUUUGGUAGUGAGCGAAGUAUAUGCUCUUGCACAUAAGGUUUGUGUAUUUUAUAUAUAAGCAAUAAAAUAUAAGUAUGUUGCAUAUUAAUAUAUAAGUAACAAAUAUUUUUAAAUGCCUCAUAAUGUGGUUUUAUGGGAAAUAAAUCAGGAUCCAGAUAUAACAGUGAUAGAUUUUCUUUUAGUCAGGAUAGGGAAGAAAGGCUUCCUAGCAGACAUAACACACAAGAGGAAAUCCAAUUAUUGAAUGAGAAACAGAAGCUUCCAGAUUUCUAGAGAGAACCAUAGAUGAGACUCAGCAGGUACGGUGGCCCUGGUGCGUGGCUUUGAUAGGCAUGGAGAAGAAGAAGCAAGAAGGUCAGAGUGGCUGGAGCAGAUCCAAGUAAAGAGAUUUGAUGGAAAACAGCCUGGACCCAGGUCCCACAUCACUUGGUAAACUUUGGUUGGAUUUUUUUAUUUCACUGGGAUAUGAUAGAAUUCCAUGAAGGGUAGACAUCAAUGUAUUUAAGAAAAGAAUAGUGGCUCAUGCCUGUAAUGCCAGCACACAGGAGGUCAGCCUACGCAAAAAAUUCCAGUUCAGUCCGGUGCAUGUGACCCUGACUCAAAAAAUGGAUAAAUUAAAAUGUCCAAUGUCUGGAAAAACC
rnacentral:lncRNA from 1 species